AGUGAAUCUCCUUCGGGAGUGAAACUAGCGGCGGACGGGUGCCUUCACGUGGGCAACCUGCCUCAUAGAGGGGAAUAGCUUUUCGAAAGGAAGAUUAAUACCGCAUAAGAUUGUAGCUUCGCAUGAAGUAGCAAUUAAAGGAGUAAUCCGCUAUGAGAUGGGCCCGCGGCGCAUUAGCUAGUUGGUGAGGUAACGGCUCACCAAGGCGACGAUGCGUAGCCGACCUGAGAGGGUGAUCGGCCACAUUGGGACUGAGACACGGCCCAGACUCCUACGGGAGGCAGCAGUGGGGAAUAUUGCACAAUGGGGGAAACCCUGAUGCAGCAACGCCGCGUGAGUGAUGACGGCCUUCGGGUUGUAAAGCUCUGUCUUCAGGGACGAUAAUGACGGUACCUGAGGAGGAAGCCACGGCUAACUACGUGCCAGCAGCCGCGGUAAUACGUAGGUGGCGAGCGUUGUCCGGAUUUACUGGGCGUAAAGGGAGCGUGUGCGGACUUUUAAGUGA
rnacentral:rRNA from 1 species